AUGCACAAGGGUACAGAGAGCCUGUGGGAGCCAACAAGAUCACUGACCUCAGACCCUGACAUCACAGGCAAUGAGCUGAAAGGAGGAGCUGGCUCCUGCUCUCACAGGGAGAGCAGCAUGCUGAGGAGAAGGAUGUGGGGCACUGCCCUCCCUGGCUCUGCCUGGGGCCCCAGCCUGCUCUGCUGUGUCACUGUCUUUCUCCUGGGAACAAGUUCAGCAAGUCCGGGGGUCAUCCAGUCUCCAAGACACAUAAUCAAAGCAAAGGGAGGAAGGUCCAUUCUCAAAUGUACUCCCAUCUCUGGACAUGACACUGUGGGCUGGUACCAGCAGACUCUGGGACAGGAACUGAAGUUCCUCAUUCAGCAUUUUGAGAAAACGGAGAGAGAGAAAGGAAACAUCCCCAACCGAUUCUCAGUCCAGCAGUUCAGUGACUAUCAGUCUGAGAUGAACGUGAGCGCCUUGCAGCUGGAGGACUCUGGGGUGUACUUCUGUGCCAGCUCACCACAGCCUCACAGAGUGACAGGCUUUCUGUCCCUUAAUCUUCCUGCUCUUGUUGGUGAUGUACUAAAGAAGGUGGUGAAAUACUACACAGCUGCCUUAACCAAGAGUGCUGAUAGGUUAUGA